rnacentral:rRNA from 1 species
AUUGAACGCUGGCGGCAUGCCUUACACAUGCAAGUCGAACGGCAGCAUGAUCUAGCUUGCUAGAUUGAUGGCGAGUGGCGAACGGGUGAGUAAUACAUCGGAACGUGCCCUGUAGUGGGGGAUAACUAGUCGAAAGAUUAGCUAAUACCGCAUACGACCUGAGGGUGAAAGUGGGGGACCGCAAGGCCUCAUGCUAUAGGAUCGGCCGAUGUCUGAUUAGCUAGUUGGUGAGGUAAAGGCUCACCAAGGCGACGAUCAGUAGCUGGUCUGAGAGGACGAUCAGCCACACUGGGACUGAGACACGGCCCAGACUCCUACGGGAGGCAGCAGUGGGGAAUUUUGGACAAUGGGCGAAAGCCUGAUCCAGCAAUGCCGCGUGUGUGAAGAAGGCCUUCGGGUUGUAAAGCACUUUUAUCCGGAAAGAAAUGGCUCUGGUUAAUACCUGGGGUCGAUGACGGUACCGGAAGAAUAAGGACCGGCUAACUACGUG